UUCUAGCCCUGAUAGAAGCGGUUACCCCACAGCAAGCUUCGAGGAAAGGAGGGCGCGAGGAGUAUGAGCGGAUAGCACGAAUAGCU
rnacentral:sRNA from 1 species